UACGAAGGCCCCAAGCGUUAUCCGGAAUUACUGGGCGUAAAGAGUUCGUAGGUGGAGAAAUAAGUCAGACGUGAAAGACCCGGGCUCAACCCGGAGUUUGCGUCCGAAACUAUUUCCCUUGAAUUGGGGAGAGGUAAGCGGAACUGUAUGAGUAGGGGUGCAAUCCGUUGAUACAUACAAGAACACCAAAAGCGAAGGCAGCUUACUGGAACCAUAUUGACACUGAGGAACGAAAGCGUGGGGAGCGAAAAGG
rnacentral:rRNA from 1 species